GCUAAUUCUGCUGACUGCCAGCAGUUCAAUUCUCACCAGCUCACGGUGGACUCAGCCUUCCAUCCUUCUGAGGUAUGUUGGGAGAAAGAGCAGCAAAACAAAAAACUUGUAAAGAUGUUCAGAUAAUUUGGGGUCGAGAGGAAGAAGAAACCAGGACAGAUACUGAAUACAAGAUUACUCAUCCCUUGGAAGAUGGUGGCAGAAGGAACUGGCAAACUCUCAAUGGAUGGAGCCAAGAAAUGAAAAUCAAAACUGCUUCUGAACAAAGAGGUUUGAGGCUCCAGUCUUUAACCCAAUGGACUUAACUAGUUCUGAUACAGAUACAUUUAAAAAUCCUGGACAAAUAGAGGAUUGGACUGAAUACUUAUUGCAUAUCCAUUUUUCCUAACUGGUGCUUGCAGAUGUAUUAGAAAAUACGAUAGAUGC
rnacentral:lncRNA from 1 species